CAAUUACAUAAGAUAUCAAAGGAUAGUCAUUGAAUAUACAUAAGAUAAAAAUUUGGUAUAAUUACAAUUAUAAUAUUCAUGCCACAGUUGAAUGUGAAAUAAACAAUGUAAUUGUCACAAUUAGCUGAAACAACUAAGUAUAUUUGGUUUCUAUUCUAGAGGAGUUAAAACGGAUUCUAGACAUGUAGAAUCUAUUCUAUCAUGUUUACAAUGGUUAUUCCAUCUCAAAUUUCUUCCAUUAUUACUAAUAAAACACAUAAUAAUUUAGCUAAUAAAAAAUUAACGAUUAGUAUAUUUAAUUAUAAGUUUGAUGUGGUGUAGAAAUUAGUAUCACACACCAGAUUAAACAUUGGGUCUAAUACUAUAAUGUAAGAAAAUAGAAUUUGGCGACUAAAAUUGUGAAAUUAAAAAUAUCAACAUUAAAAUUUAGAAAUUACGGAUGGUAAAACGAAUCAAUUAUAAUGAUUUUUAAUUUUGGUUGUUUACAAUUUUUUUUUUGUUGUUUUUGCAAAUUUAUUGAAAAGGGG
rnacentral:lncRNA from 1 species